UCAGAGGGGGUAGAGUGAAAGAUUCGCCAGGGAAGAGGCUCUGAAAAUGGAAUUGAAAAAUGACUGCUCUACUCUACAAAAUGGCAAUACUUUCCGUGGAUAUCUGAACGAGUUACAAAAGUACUACAGAGGAAGAUCCAGAUCUUACCGUUUGUAUGAACGACAAAUCACUGCUGUACAGGAGUUCAAGGAACCAUACCCGACACCUGCUAGCACUGAGACGCUUAGUAUAGCCUAUAUGGAGCUCAUGAAUAUGCAUGCCUAUCCGCAAAUCCAGGGUGGGGCCAAGUUCACCCUUCAACUUAGAUUAAAAACAGACGACGAUAUAGCUAAUAUUACCAUAACCACAGCCAUUAGGCUUACAUAUGCGGACGGUACGCUAAUUCCUAAGGAGUUCAUUUUCCAGGAAAUCUAUAAAGCAGUCAAGGUGUUUGCAGAAAACUACGGCGAUUCUGAGGUCCUGGCUAUCAUGAUAAGUUGUUAUACCGAUGGGUG
rnacentral:misc_RNA from 1 species